rnacentral:rRNA from 1 species
ACGAAGUCGCAAGACUUAGUGGCGGAAGGGUUAGUAAUACAUGGGUAACUUACCUCUAACUUGGGAAUAACGAUUGGAAACGAUCGCUAAUACCGAAUGCGAUGUAUUUAGGGCAUCUUAGAUACAUUAAAGUAGAGGAUCGCAAGACUUUGCGGUUAGAGAGAGGCCCAUGGGAUAUCAGCUAGUUGGUGAGGUAAAGGCUCACCAAGG